rnacentral:rRNA from 1 species
GAUCAUGGCUCGGGAUGAACGCUAGCUACAGGCUUAACACAUGCAAGUCGAGGGGCAGCNUGUUGGUUGUUUGCAACCAAUGGAUGGGCGACCUGCGCACGGGUGAGUAACGCGUAUCCAACCUACCCUUGUCCAUCGGAUAACCCGUCGAAAGGCGGCCUAACACGAUAUGCGGUUCGCAGCAGGCAUCUAACGUGACGAAAUGUAAAGGAGAAGGAUGGGGAUGCGU